rnacentral:pre_miRNA from 1 species
GAUUUCAACUGAAAAGUCAUCAACAACAAAGAUGUAUAACUCAUCAAGAUCUAUAACUUUUAUUUUGGUCAUUUCUUCAUCCGACAAAUUGAUAGUAACAUUAUUCAUAAAAUUCACAUAUCUCUCAUCUGGUUUUAUAAACUAUAACAGAAAUAUGUAAAUUUUAUGAGCAGUGUUACUAACACUUUGUCGGAUGAAAAAAUGAUAAACAUAAAAGUUACAGAUCAUGAUGAGUUAUAGAACUUUGUUGUUGAUGACUUUUUUAGUUGAAAUC